rnacentral:lncRNA from 1 species
UCCGGCCUCAAGUAAGUCCCCGUCAGAAAUGUUAUAAGGGACCUCCAAACCCGACCGAAACAUUAAUGGCGCCCACCGUGGGGCCGAGCGUGCAUCCCCAUUCGUACCCAUAAGGAAAGGGUGAGUAGUGCUCUCAAGAAUCUCAGGUGAACCUCUCAAGCCGCUCGGUCUCGGCCCUUCGGCCUCAACAGCUCGGCCAUCCG